rnacentral:rRNA from 1 species
AUUGAACGCUGGCGGCAGGCCUAACACAUGCAAGUCGAACGAGUGGCGGACGGGUGAGUAAUGUCUGGGAAACUGCCUGAUGGAGGGGGAUAACUACUGGGAACGAUAUGUAAUACCGCAUACCAUCUGAUGUGCCCAGAUGGGAUUAGCGAGUAGGUGGGGUAAAGGGCCACCUAGGCGACGAUCCGUCGCGGGUCUGAGAGGAUGAUCGGCCACACUGGGACUGAGACACGGUCCAGACUCCUACGGGAGGCAGCAGUGGGGAAUAUUGCGCAAUGGGCGAAAGCCUGAUGGAGCAAUGCCGCGUGUAUGAAGAAGGCCUGCGGGUUGUAAAGCACUUUCGGCGGGGAAGCGUUACCUACAGAAGAAGCAACGGCUAACUCCGUGCCAGCAGCCGCGGUAAUAC